rnacentral:rRNA from 1 species
GAUGAACGCUGGCGGCGUGCCUAAUACAUGCAAGUCGAGCGAACAGACGAGGAGCUUGCUCCUCUGACGUUAGCGGCGGACGGGUGAGUAACACGUGGAUAACCUACCUAUAAGACUGGGAUAACUUCGGGAAACCGGAGCUAAUACCGGAUAAUAUAUUGAACCGCAUGGUUCAAUAGUGAAAGACGGUUUUGCUGUUACUUAUAGAUGUAUCCGAGCGGCAUUAGAUAGUUGGUAAGGUAACGGGUUUACAAGGCAACGAAGCGUAGCCGACCUGAGAGGGUGAUCCGCCACACUGGAACUGAGACACGGUCCAGACUCCUACGGGAGGCAGCAGUAGGGAAUCUUCCGCAAUGGGCGAAAGCUUGACGGAGCAACGCCGCGUGAGUGAUGAAGGUCUUCGGAUCGUAAAACUCUGUUAUUAGGGAAGAACAAAUGUGUAAGUAACUAUGCACGUGUUGACGGUACCUAAUCAGAAAGCCACGGCUAACUACGUG